GUGGGCUGGCAGGGGCCGGAGGCCGGCAGCCGGGACCCCCGGCUCUGGACCUCCCCCUUUGGGCCUCAGUUUCCACAUCCACAAACCGGGUGGGAAAUCCCAUUCUGGAGGAGCCCGAGCGAGACAGCUGCUCCUCAAAGGAAAGAGAACUCCGAGCCUCAUUUUUCCAGUCUGAGUAAGGUCCGUGGGGGCCACCAGCUCCAACAGGUCAUUCUGCUCUUUCUUGGAAACGAGAUUCCAGGGACGUGCUCCCAAAGGGUGGUUCUCAAAGUGUGGUCCUGGAAGCAGCAGCAGCAGCAGCACCUGGGAACUUGUUGGAAAUGCAGAUUCUCAGACACCACCUUAGACCUGCUGAAUCAGAAACUCGGGGUGGAACCCAGCCACCUGUGUUUUAACAAGCCUCCAGGGGAUUCUGAUGCUCCUCAAGUGUGAGGGCCAUUGGUCUACACCAGUUGGCCAUUGCCACACUGAGCUCGCCACCAACACUUCAUGUGCUUGCCAUCUUCUAAGCUCCGUGCUACACGCUUCCAUUGACUGUCACUGAGUUCUUUUAACAACGCCUGUUUUACAGAUGAGAAAGUCGAGGCUCAGGAUAAUUGAGUACUUUUGCCCAGGAUCACCCAGCUGUUGAUGUUAGAGUUGGGAUUUGAACCCAGGCAGGCUCUGGAUCCUGUGUCUUUUUUUUUGGCUACACCACGCGGCACAUAGGAUCUUAGUUCCCUGACCAGGGAUCAA